GACGAACGCUGGCGGCGUGCUUAACACAUGCAAGUCGAACGGAAAGGCCCUGCUUUUGUGGGGUGCUCGAGUGGCGAACGGGUGAGUAACACGUGAGUAACCUGCCCUUGACUUUGGGAUAACUUCAGGAAACUGGGGCUAAUACCGGAUAGGAGCUCCUGCUGCAUGGUGGGGGUUGGAAAGUUUCGGCGGUUGGGGAUGGACUCGCGGCUUAUCAGCUUGUUGGUGGGGUAGUGGCUUACCAAGGCUUUGACGGGUAGCCGGCCUGGGAGGGUGACCGGCCACAUUGGGACUGAGAGACGGCCCAGACUCCUACGGGAGGCAGCAGUGGGGAAUAUUGCACAAUGGGCGGAAGCCUGAUGCAGCAACGCCGCGUGCGGGAUGACGGCCUUCGGGUUGUAAACCGCUUUCGCCUGUGACGAAGCGUGAGUGACGGUAAUGGGUAAAGAAGCACCGGCUAACUACGUA
rnacentral:rRNA from 1 species